ensembl:lncRNA
GUAGCUUAACAGGUUAGGAGACCAGAAUCUAUGAAUAUGUAAAUAGUUUAGAUUUGAGUCCGUUUUCAUCAGGUUUGCACAUCACACGUGUUUGAGACCAAAAUUAGCUUUUCAUAAGCAGGUAUAGCUCUUCAAUUCACUGUUUAGGUUUUUAUAACUCUGCACCGACAUCAUGCUGACCAGCAAAUGUUAAAUAUCCCCCUAAAAAAAAAACAAAAAAAACAAAAAAACUCAGUUUGAGGGGGAAAAUUCUUUAAUAUCAAUCCAAACAACACUCCAAGCACAAAAAUACAUCAGUCUGGGACAUUAAACCAAAACUAAUGAUCACAAAUCAAUGUGUUAUCAACAUUGUAGACUCUGAUGUUACAGACGCAUCAUCAUCGUCACUACAGGCCAGACACAGGUUGUGGUUAUCAGUAGCUAUGUUGACAUUCAGUUGGCACAAAUCACUAGAAUUUAACAACCAGCUGUUGAGUCACAUCUGCACCCAAACUGGAAAAACAACAACAACAAAAAACACCACAAGAUAAUCGGCUGUGACACACAAAGUAGAGUUAUAAGUCUACAUGUACGGGUUAAAACAAUUAACAUUUGAUUUUACAAGAGGAAACAAAAAACACUCGCACCAGAGUAAGUCGUUGUAGUGUGUCAGUAUUUGUUCUUGUUACACGCCUGUGGUGUUCCCAUCUAAAGAUCAUUUUGUGUUAGACAAAAAACAAAAAAACACAACUUUUUGGCAUUCAAUGAUUGUCUGGAAAUGGAAAUCAAACAGGCUCUUCGUGUUAUACUCAUCUGCUGGUAGAUCAGAGAAAAGAUCAUAACAAUGCAACAAUCACGGUUAUUCCAAUUUAAAUCAGAGUAUGGCGUGUUGGAGAAGGGGCAAAACCAAACCAGUAACUUUGCUUUUUUUAAAUUCUGCCUUCAUGGCUUUAAAUAAGUCCUAAAUGUGUUGGAAUGAACUGGGAACUGAGAAUCACCUUUCAUGGUGAUUUACUCUCCAAGGCAGUUUAAGCUUUACAAAAUUCACAUACAAAACUGAACCUGAAGAAAUACAUUCAGCCACUGAGGACUAACAAUUUCUAAACUUCAGAGCAUCUGCUUCUUCUUACUGAGAACAUCCAGACUGAAGCAAGGCUAGAAAAUGGAAGAAACCUCCAGAAAGGUUAGUAGAAGCAGCUCAGUCGUAGUAAAAAAUAUUACUAUCCUUUGCUAGGCACUUAGAGUGAGGAAAUACCCUUCGUUCAGGUUUCACUUAAUGCAGUGGUUCUUAACCUUGUUGGAGGUACCGAACCCCACCAGUUUCAUAUGCGCAUUCACUGAACCCCUCUUUAGUGAAAAAAAAUUUUUUUUCAAAUUCAAGACAAAGAUAUGUUUUUAUUGGUGCACAAAAUGAGCCGUGCAUGUCAUGGUGGAGGCUCUGCCGAACCCCUGAGACCGACUCACCGAACCCCUAGGGUUCGAUCGAACCCAGGUUAAGAACCACUGACUUAAUGUAUUCUUUUAACCAAGCACACUUUCAUAUGUGCUAAUUACAGACCAAAUUCUCAUUGAUCUAAGCUUUUCUUCUGCUACCUAAGGCAAGGAGUAAAGACAACUGAUAUUAAAACACUUUACAUGCAUCUGCCCACAGCUGAUGGAGCAGAUAUAUGGACUGGAGAUGCUGUAUGUCACAAAUCUUCCUCAUUUACAGAGGUCAACUAAAGUCAAAAUAUUGUGUUAUGUUCAGGAGAUCACCUGAACGCUACAUUAAUUCCAACAAACAAUUUCCACGAGCAGACAAAGAAAAUGAGAAAAUGAUUUCCAGAGAAGGCAGGAUACAGGAGUGUAGGGAUUGUAAAACUCCCUGUAAAACCUCCCCUCCCAGAUAUUUUUAAGAGCGAUGCCGAUAUUUGUUGAUUUAAAAAUUUGAUAUAUAGGCUGAUAUUUUCUUUUUCUUUCAGACAUAAAAAAUAUAAACAGAUUUCAUUAACAUUUGUUAUGCUUAGCUAUUUGUCAGUGUGUUACAUUGUUCAGCAACACAGUAAUGUAACGAGUUACUGUACUAAAUUCAGUAAUCACAUCACGACGUGCAUUACAAAUCUGCACAAAAUGGGAAAAUAGAAAAAAAAGAAGAAGUGGAUCUUACUUUACUUAGACUUCACCUCUGACGUGUUUAUUUAUUUAAAAAGAAGUUUGUGGUUUCAAUCCCAGCUGUGCUCAUUACUUUUACUUUUAUUUUGGAAAAACAUGUUUAAAACUAUCCAAAAAGAAUAAUACCUAUAUCACACUGAGUACGCUGAUGUCUUGUAGGCACUAACAAUGGAACAAUUAUCAUUAUGCUUUAGCAGUGAAUCUGUCCCUGGAUAAACCAACAAGUAGAUUUAAAAAAAAAAUUAAGUGAUUGCAUUUUAAUAAACUGAAACAUUUUCCAAAUCUCAAAAGCUAUUUUCUAAACUAUUAGUAUUUCUCAUGUUGUUAAUUAUUAUUUGGUGAGGUUAUCUGCUGGUCUAAGAUCAGAAUAUUACUUUGGGCACUGUCAUCAGUCAGAUUAGGUUUUCUCGUUUUGGUGAUUAAUCUUCCCAUUUUUUAAUCAUCAAUUAAACAUCCAUCCAUCCAUUCGCUUCCGCUUAUCCUUUUCAGGGUCGCGGGGGGCGCUGGAGCCUAUCCCAGCUGUCAUAGGGCGCAAGGCGGGGUACACCCUGGACAGGUCGCCAGUCUGUCGCAGGGCCAACACACAGGGACAGACAACCAUUCGCACUCACAUUCACUCGCACAUUCACACCUAGUGGUAAUUUGGAUUAUCCAAUUAACCUAUCCCCACAAGCUGCAUGUCUUUGGACGGUGGGAGGAAGCUGGAACCCGGAGGGAACCCACGCAAACACGGGGAGAGCAUGCAAACUCCACACAGAAAGACCCCGGCCUGAUGGUGGAAUUGAACUCAGGACCUUCUUGCUGUGCGGCAACAGUGCUAACCACCGUGCUGCCCAUCAAUUAAACAAUUGUACAUAUUUAAAAAUAUAAAUCUUUCAAAUUCACUGCUGAGUUUCAGUCACAAGCCUUGCUUCUUAUUCCUGUUACAGAUGACACCUCAUGCCCUCUGCUCCGCUUGGCUCUACUCAUCUGCUCACCCAGCUCAGCCGUUCUGCCUUGGUAUGUAAGGUCCAAGUAUAGAAACUAUUGACACUGCUCAGUUUCUAUGAGCCUGCAUCAGUACUGUCAAAAUGUUCAUCUGCAUCAUUCAAACAAGCUCCAAGUCCCAUCUGCUGCCACAACUCUACAUUAACACUUCUAAUUGAUAUGUGACGAUUAGAAAAACACGUGAUUGUGUGCUGAGGUAAAGUACAAUACUGAGAACUAAAUUAUCUUUGUAACAGAACUCAAAUGAUCUCUUCACUAUGUGUUUGCAUAUUUCCAGUCAAGUUAGCAAAUACUGCUAAAAGCUCUACACUGAGUCCUCCUCCCUAACCAGGAGAUUUAAAGUCAUUCCAGUGACAUGUCACAGUCUAGUGUCAAGUCAUGUUUUCAAAAACAAAACAGCCGGGAAUGGCAGCGAAGAGACAGACUGCACAGCUGUCACGCUGGCAGCAAAUGGAAGACACAUUUGUGUAAUGUGUGUACUUUGUGUGUGUCCAACAUCAGCGACACAUAUGAGGGUGAAGAUAUAAAAAUGCCUCUUGAUAUACUGUACUUUUUAAAAACACCACCACAGAUAAAUGACAUAUGUAAAAGCA